rnacentral:lncRNA from 1 species
GGCAACGAUGGACACUUACAAGAGAUGGUUAAAAGAAAAACGGGAAACCCAUAAAUCAAAUUUCCUCUCUUUCUUUGAUUUUCCAGACAUGUAACAAUCCCUACCGCAAAGAGAAAGGUAGACAUCUGACUAUGUCUGAUUGAAUCAACCAAAUCUCUACAUACAUAAUGCAUGAAGUCUUGAGUGGUAUAGUGUACAGAGAUUGCAUAUGCUCAAGCAAAUAUAUGCAAAUGCAAAACAAGUCAAUGAGAGAGAUGCAGAGUCCAGAUGUAGCUCAAAUAAUAAUUAACCAAUAUUAUUGGGCAACGAUGGACACUUACAAGAGAUGGUUAAAAGAAAAACGGGAAACCCAUAAAUCAAAUUUCCUCUCUUUCUUUGAUUUUCCAGACAUGUAACAAUCCCUACCGCAAAGAGAAAGGUAGACAUCUGACUAUGUCUGAUUGAAUCAACCAAAUCUCUACAUACAUAAUGCAUGAAGUCUUGAGUGGUAUAGUGUACAGAGAUUGCAUAUGCUCAAGCAAAUAUAUGCAAAUGCAAAACAAGUCAAUGAGAGAGAUGUAGAGUCCAGAUGUAGCUCAAAUAAUAAUUAAACCAAUAUUAUUGGGCAACGAUGAACACUUAAAAGAGAUGGUUAAAAGAAAAACGGGAAACCCAUAAAUCAAAUUUCCUCUCUUUCUUUGAUUUUCCAGACAUGUAACAAUCCCUACCACGAUAAUACACAGUAGGCAUCUGACUAUGUCUGGUAUAAAAUCAUUGCAAUCAAACCGCCUUGAAGUAGACUCAAAAAUGAAAUAUUAGCACUUCGCAGCCAAUCUUUAGUGAAAAAGCAAUUUUUUU